AGUUAAUAAAAUAGCCUUGUUAAUCCUUUGACAAGUUAAAAAAGAAUAAGAAGAAGAAGAGAAAGCAGGAAUAUUUACAUAUUUACCACUAAAUUCUUAUUUAAUUACAUAUCCCAAGGCCUAAAUUUCAAUUUUUUUACAUAUAUGCCACCCUGCCCAUACAUGAAAAAGUGUUUCACAUUUUAAAAGUUACAAAAACUAUACUUCUGACGUGACAUGAAAGAUUUGGUUGGCAUAAAUGUAAAAAAUCAAGAUUUAGGUGUUAGAUAUGUAAAUAUCUAAGAAUUGGGUGUUACGUAUGUAAAUGCCCUGAGUAAAUAAGCUAAAAGAUAAACAGCUACAGUCCAUUGGCAUCAAUAUGCAGGCUAAUGAAACACAA